GAUGAACGCUGGCGGCGUGCCUAAUACAUGCAAGUCGAGCGAACAGACGAGGAGCUUGCUCCUCUGACGUUAGCGGCGGACGGGUGAGUAACACGUGGAUAACCUACCUAUAAGACUGGGAUAACUUCGGGAAACCGGAGCUAAUACCGGAUAAUAUAUUGAACCGCAUGGUUCAAUAGUGAAAGACGGUUUUGCUGUCACUUAUAGAUGGAUCCGCGCCGCAUUAGCUAGUUGGUAAGGUAACGGCUUACCAAGGCAACGAUGCGUAGCCGACCUGAGAGGGUGAUCGGCCACACUGGAACUGAGACACGGUCCAGACUCCGACGGGAGGCAGCAGUAGGGAAUCUUCCGCAAUGGGCGAAAGCCUGACGGAGCAACGACGCGUGAGUGAUGAAGGUCUUCGGAUCGUAAAACUCUGUUAUUAGGGAAGAACAAAUGUGUAAGUAACUAUGCACGUCUUGACGGUACCUAAUCAGAAAGCCACGGCUAACUACGUG
rnacentral:rRNA from 1 species